GGUCAAGUAUGUAAGGGCACAUGGUGGAUGUCUGGGCAUCAGGAGCCGAUGAAGGACGUGGGAGGCCGCGAUAGUCCUCGGGGAGUUGUCAACCUAGCUGUGAUCCGAGGGUUUCCGAAUGGGGUAACCCGGCACCCGUCAUGGGGUGUCACCGUGCACUGAAUUCAUAGGUGUACGGGGGGAACGUGGGGAAGUGAAACAUCUCAGUACCCACAGGAAGAGAAAACAAAAUGUGAUUCCGUGAGUAGUGGCGAGCGAAAGCGGAUGAGGCUAAACCUUGGUCGUGUCAAGCCGGCAGGCGUUGCGGUUGGGGUGUUGUGGGAUUUUCUCGUGGUGGUGCUGCCGCGCUGCCGAAGUCAUGGGUUUGUGUUAGUGGAAGACUUCUGGAAAGGGUCGCCGUAGUGGGUGAGAGCCCCGUACGCGAAAAACACAGGCCGUGGUUUGGGGAUUGUUCCCGAGUAGCAGCGAGCUCGUGGAAUUUGCUGUGAAUCUGCCGGGACCACCCGGUAAGCCUAAAUACUUCCUGGUGACCGAUAGCGGACUAGUACCGUGAGGGAAAGAUGAAAAGUACCCCGGGAGGGGAGUGAAAUAGUACCUGAAACCGUGUGCCUACAAGCCGUCAGAGCCUUUUUGGGGUGAUGGCGUGCCUUUUGAAGAAUGAGCCUGCGAGUUAUGCUUCGUGGCGAGGUUAACCCGGGUGGGGUAGCCGUAGCGAAAGCGAGUCUGAAUAGGGCGUGUAGUCGCGGGGUGUAGACCCGAAGCGGAGUGAUCUACCCAUGGCCAGGGUGAAGCUACGGUAAGACGUGGUGGAGGCCCGAACCCACCAGGGUUGAAAACCUGGGGGAUGAGCUGUGGGUAGGGGUGAAAGGCCAAUCAAACUCC
rnacentral:ncRNA from 1 species